CGGCGAGGUGUCGGCGCCUGGAGAAGGGGCGCAGAAGUGGGGCCAGUGAACCCGGAGGUGUCCACGUAAUCGUGACCUUUUCACUCUCUUCAAUGAUGGCUUCCUCAGAAGCGCUCCUCUCCCUCUACUUGGCCAGAGAGGACCUUUCAGGAACAGGGAAAGCGAUACACUCCGCUCCCGGCCUCCUCUCGCUGCUCCUCCUGCUCUGCUCUGUGGCUGCCUGCCAAGCCUCACUUCCGGUCUCCUCCCUGCCGCGUGGAUUCCCCCUGCCUCCCACCUACCCAUGUUGUGUUCUCAGCUCGUCACAGGAAUUAACUCACUCGGGCCUCGCAAGAGCUACAUGAGGGAAUGCAUUAUCACUCUCAUUCCAUAAAUGUGAGACAACCAACGUGAUAAGCCAAAAAGUGCCAGGAGUAGCAUUCACAAGUAACCUGGCAGAAUGUGGAAGUUGGUCCUUGAAGACUAUAAGAGUCUGCCUUGAACUGCAUGAGCUGAGCUUUUAAGAUCUGGAACAAGAGUCUGCACCUGAAGUAGCAAAUUUGAUGAACUGAUUGUGGGUGAUCAUCUUCCAACAGCAAGAGGUUAUGGAGGAGAUCGCAUCUGCAGAAGAGGAGGAGAAAAAGGUUCAUAAACAGUUCUGACUUCUUUGAUGAACAUGGCUAGAAAAUCCACUUUUGAGUAAAACUACUCAAGAAGACAACCUUGCUCAUGGUUUAGUGAGCAGCUCUCCUCCACCACACCCUUCUGCCUUGAUGUUUCUGCUUGGAGCCAGCUGACCAUGGACCAAAACCGCUGAAAUCCAUGGAGAUUUGAGAGGUAGAGAAGUAAUUGCUCCUGUCAUCAGAAGAUCAAGCUGUAGCCCAUUAAGGAAUUAUUGCCAGCUCUAGAGAUGAUUUGAAGCUAUCUGACAUGCACAUUACAGAGAGCAGCAGAAUGGUGGCAGUGAAGAGGAAAGAAGGUGGCCAAUGGAAAACAUGGGACAAAAAUAGACAGUAGGAGUGGUGAUUCUGGGUAGAGAGAAGAAACAGAGCCAG
ensembl:lncRNA